rnacentral:rRNA from 1 species
CCCUUAGAUGUUCUGGGCCGCACGCGCGCUACACUGAUGCAUUCAACGAGCCUAUCCUUGACCGACAGGUCCGGGUAAUCUUUGAAUCUGCAUCGUGACGGGGAUAGAUUAUUGCAAUUAUUAAUCUUCAACGAGGAAUGCCUAGUAGGCGCAAGUCAUCAGCUUGCGUCGAUUACGUCCCUGCCCUUUGUACACACCGCCCGUCGCUCCUACCGAUUGGACGGUUUAGUGAGGGCCUCGGAUUGGUCUCGGCCCGCUCUUUACCGGGCGGCGCCGUUGGUCGAGAAGACGCUCGAACUUGAUCGUUUAGAGGAAGUAAAAGUCGUAACA